UAAUACAGAGGGUGCGAGCGUUAAUCGGAAUUACUGGGCGUAAAGCGCACGUAGGUGGCUUGGCAAGUCGGUUGUGAAAUCCCCGGGCUUAACCUGGGAACUGCAUCCGAGACUGCUUUGCUAGAGUAUGGGAGAGGGAAGUGGAAUUUCCGGUGUAGCGGUGAAAUGCGUAGAUAUCGGAAGGAACAUCAGUGGCGAAGGCGACUUCCUGGACCAAUACUGACACUCAAGUGCGAAAGCGUGGGGAGCAAACAGGAUUAGAUACCCUGGUAGUCCACGCCAUAAACGAUGAGAACUGGAUGUCGGGAGGGUCUGCCUCUCGGUGUCGUAGCUAACGCGUUAAGUUCUCCGCCUGGGGAGUACGGCCGCAAGGUU
rnacentral:rRNA from 1 species